ACGGGAGGCAGCAGUGGGGGAUAUUGCGCAAUGGGGGAAACCCUGACGCAGCAACGCCGCGUGAAGGAAGAAGGUCUUCGGAUUGUAAACUUUUGUCUUAUGGGACGAAGAAAGUGACGGUACCAUAGGAGGAAGCCACGGCUAACUACGUGCCAGCAGCCGCGGUAAUACGUAGGUGGCAAGCGUUGUCCGGAAUUACUGGGUGUAAAGGGCGUGUAGGCGGGGCGUUAAGUCAGAUGUGAAAUACCCGGGCUCAACUUGGGUGCUGCAUUUGAAACUGAUGCUCUUGAGUGCAGGAGAGGAAAGCGGAAUUCCUAGUGUAGCGGUGAAAUGCGUAGAUAUUAGGAGGAACACCAGUGGCGAAGGCGGCUUUCUGGACUGUAACUGACGCUGAGGCGCGAAAGCGUGGGGAGCAAACAGGAUUAGAUACCCUGGUA
rnacentral:rRNA from 2 species